CUUGUAUUGAAGUUGCUAACUAGGAGUGACCAGGGGAAGAAACCAUAAUAUACUCUGGGAUUGUUGUGAGGGCUGCCUUCCUCUAAAAUAGUAGGUUCUGUUACAAGGAAUAAGCAGCUUGGAGAACAAUAACCAGUCCCUUUCAGAAUGGUUACAAGCCUAUGUGUCUGACAGGAUCCAGUGGGGAGAGAGGACGACCUCUGUUAUCCCAGCUAUCCAGACUAAAUAGUCAGUAGGGUCUGGGGCAAGGAGCCUGACAAGAGAGGAAUUCUGGGCAUCUUUUCUCUGCUGACACCAAGAAGAAUCACGGAGGUCCUCUGCUAAGCAGAAAAUAAGUCGCAAUGGGAUCUGUAAACAGGGCCUGGAAGGGAAGACCUCCAGCUGCCCAGGAAUAAGCUUAAUUCUAGACCUAACUAUGGCUUGCCCUAUUACCUUAGACAAGAAGUUCCUUUGCUUUGUGCUUCAUUUCCUCUUAUGCAAAUAGAGAGUACUGGAGGUAAAAAGGAAGCAUCUGUAAAACUGCUUGGAAAGUCAAGCAUAUUAUGGCCACUAAGGUCAGAAUUAACAUUCACUUUGUACUUUUAUGUACUCCAAACAGUUCUGCAGACACUAAAGAAUCACUGUAACUGAGACACAUAAGCAGAAAAGUUCAAAAAGCGGGGAAAAUGUGCUCUAAAUAAUUUCUUUUUUUUUUUGAGACAGAGUUUCACUCUUGUCGCCUAGGCUGGAGCACAAUGGCACGAUCUUGGCUCACUGCAACCUCCGCCUCCCAGGUUCAAGCAAUUCUUCUGCCUCAGCCUCCCAAGUAGCUGGGAUUACAGGCGCCUGCCACCACUAAUUAGCGCCCGGCUAAUUUUUUGUAUUUUUAGUAGAGAUGGGGUUUCACCAUGUUGGCCAGGCUGGUCUCGAACUCCUGACCUCAGGUGAUCCACCCGUCUUGGCCUCCCAAAGUGCUGGGAUUACAGGCGGC
rnacentral:lncRNA from 10 species